AUGUUACAUGUUGGGGAGAGAGUUUGUCGUAAAAGUAGCUCGAAGGAAAAUAUAAAUGAUGAAACAAAGGGAAAACUAUUUUCACUCUCUGACGUUAUAGAGCAGAAUGGAGGGGUACUUUCUUGGGAGCUCGUUCACAAAUUGAAAUCAGCAAACAUUGAAAGAAAUAUACGCCCUGCUGCAGACAGGAUUCGUAGGUUACAAGAUGGGGAGAGAGUUUAUCAUAAAAGUAGCUCGGAGGAAAAUAUGAAUGAAGAAACUAAGAAAAAACUAUUGAAAGUUUCUGACAUAGUGGAGCAGAAUGGAGGUGCACUUUCUUGGGGAUUCGUCCACGAGAUGAAAUCGGCAAAAGUUGAAAUAAAUAUACGCCCUGCUGCAGCCAGCAUUCUUAUGUUACAACUUGGGGACAUGGUUCAUUUUAUGAGUAGCUCAGAGGAGACGACGCUCAUUUUUGACGAUACAGAUCAAUCGACCUACUAUGUUUUUUUAAGUAGCAAAAUUGAGAUCGACAAGAAAUCAAGUGUUCAUAUAAAAAUAGUGUUUAUCAAUGAUGACGGAAGUUUCAAAAUUAACGAAAACAAGACAGUUACCUUUGAGACCCAAUGAGAUUAACUCUUUAAUUCUUAGAUUUAGUUAUUUCUUCUGUUCGUCCUAAACUUGAGAUACGUAAGUGAUACACAUUAGUCGAAUUUCCGUGAGUGGAUUUGGUUAAGCUUUUAACUUAGUGCCAACCUCCGUCAUUAGGAUACGAAAUUCGACACACAGUGGAACGAGACAAUUAGAGAGGUCGGACAUGAAGUUUUUGACUAAAACUGCACAUUUUUCUAUUAAUGAGGAAUAAAAAGAUAAAGUCAAGCAAACCCUAAUCCCCAAAAAUCUCGCUUAUUCUCUGCUUUAAUGCUUACCUUACUCCUCUGGUUGAUAGGACUUAAUGAUUGAAAAGUAGUAGUAAUAGUGGUAGUAAUAGUAAUUGUAGUAGAUAGUAAGGGUACUAAUUUUUUUUUUAAAAAAAUUUGACUUCUGUAGAAAAUGUCAUUUAGAUGUUCAAAGUCCAUUGCAGUUUGCUCUGUUCUUAAAUCCACCAGAGUCAAGUGUUUUUUCCUUGAUCUUGCAUCUGUGUCAACUUUUGAAAAGUCAUUUUCAUAUAAUAAUAAUCUUUGUAAAUUUGUUGGUUUGUGGGAUUUUUCCAUUAAUUAUUUUUGGGUUCCUCACAAUCUUCUUUCUUAUGCAUAAUGAAUGUUGCCCAGUCAAUCAAUAUGCGAGAAUACUAUAGGUGCAUUUAGCGUUAUAUUAUACCUUUGUUUCAUUGAUAAAAAAUUGAUUGCAUAUUUUUAUAAGAUUUGUAUCAAAUAAAUUUGAACUGAAUGUACUUGUGAAAUUUUUUGUAAGAUUAUUUGAAGCACAAUAACCACUCCUUUACAUUCUUUUCAUCUUCAACUUCAUUAUCUUUAUAAUCAUCAUCUAAAGAAUGAUCAACCACUGUCUUACUUUUCUAACUCAGUGUUAAAGUCUCCACGGCACUGCGUCUAAUUGAUUAGGUAUUGGGCAUGUUAAGAAUAAAAUAACCUCACUCCCACAUGUUUCCGGAUGAAAGUUUCACACGAAAUAUGUCGUCUAUCUCGAAAUUUUGAAAAUCAAUUAAAAGCUACGAACUAAAACUUCAUAAGUUGAACCAGAUUCAAUUAAUUCAAAAUUUUUCCUCGUAGAGAAUGUAAACCGGUGGUAUAAAGAAUUAAUUAUCCUAGAGGAAAAAGAUGCCAGAGAUGGAUUUUAUUCCACUCGAGAAUUUGAGCAAGGAGCUUGAAAAAAAUGAGCAAAAUGAACUCAACAUUAGUGAAGAAAUAUGGUUAGUUAUAUUCAUUCAACUUAUUAAAAUAAUACCUCUUGAUUUAUCAUUGUAUUCAUGUGGAGCAACCAAUGAGUUGAUUUUAGAAAAUAAAGUGUUACUCAUUGAGAUAGUGAAGUAGAGAGAUAGAAGAAUAUAUUUAAUGAUAUAUAAGUGCUGUACUAAUAAAAGCACUUGCAUAUAUUUAAAUAAAUAAAUAUAAAACAUAUUUUUCCUAUACCAUUUUUCUUGUGUAUUUUAAUCUAGAAAAAGGUCGAUCUCCUCCGAUGGAGUGGUCGGUUGUAGCGCUAUCCCUAUGAUCAAGAGGUUCCAGCGGGUCGAUUGUUGAAUCGUUAUCGAAUGAAAUCGAUCGAUAACUCCCUAUCUUAACAAUGCUAUAAAUCGAUCAAGGUCACUCGAUAGCGAUUCAACAAUCGACCCGCAGAGUUUGUUUUUGGCCGGGCAACCCGAGUUUGAUAGUCCAUAGCAAUUAAUUGGUUGCCAGCGGGUCGAUUGUUGAAUCGCUAUCGAAUGACCUUGAUCGAUAUAUAGCAUUGUUAAGAUAGGGAGUUAUCGAUCGAUUUCAUUCGAUAACGAUUCAACAAUCGACCCGCCGGUCGUUAUUGAGAAGGAGCGGUGAUUGAAAUAUGGGAUGGGGUCAAAGCGGAGGAUUACCUCAAAGUAUAGUUAUUUGAAUGGACUACCAGACAUAAUACGAAUUUAAGCAUACUGAUAUACGUUUCCUCUUGAAAAUUUGACACACAUCAGAAAACGAUUUCGGAAUGGGUAUUACUUAAAAAGGAUAUUUUUCAUUUUCAUGCUAUGCUAUACUGUUCGGCAAGAAAGCCGUAAGUGCCAUGUCCUGCAUGCUUCCAUGGUUGCAUUUUGGGCACACAACAAACACGUUUUCAGGUUAGAAAUCGGCAGAGGGCGGCACAUUAGUUGAAAGCACUGUUUUCAUUGGCUCUCGGGAGGAAUAUUGUCACUUUCUGCUAUCUUGCUUAAAACUACGUCAUAUUUUGCGCACUUGCGGCUUUGUCAUAUGUCUCGUUUUCAUAUAGUUAAGUUGAAUUUCGCUGUUUUACACUGAAAAAAAGUAGCUUGGAUCAAGCAUGAUUAUUCUUGAAUUUGCCGGCAAGAAUUUUUUUUAUCUUGCUUUAAGCUGACUUUGUCUUGAUACAAGAAAAAUAAUGCUCGGGUUGAGCAAAAAAGUGGCUUAUAUUAAUCAGAAAAAUUUUUGAUUUAAGAAUAAAUACUUCUUGGCGGCAAAUUUAAGGUUCUUUUUUUUUCAGUGUAGCUAUUUCAGUGAUUUCAUCUAAAAGAGAUCAGACUAAUUUCGAAAAUUUGACACUACUGCUCUCUUUGCUAUCACAACAGUACCUAUAGGUACUCUACUGAACACUGAACGAAUGAAUAUUCGUUAAAAUAUGCGAGCGCAUAAUCAUCAGGUUAGAAAUCGGCAGAAGAGGGUGGCACUCUACUUGAAAGCACUGUUUUCAUUCGCUCUCCGGGGGAAUAAUGUCACUUAUUGCUGUCUAACCUGAACCUGCGUCAUUUUUUGCACAUUUAUGGCUUUUUAAUACGUCUCAUUUUUAAACAAUUAGAUGAAUUUUGCUGUCUCAGCUAUUUCAGUGAUUUAAUCUAAAAGAGAUUAGAAAAAUUUUGAAGGAGACUCGAUUUCGAAAAUUUGACACUUACUGCUCUCUUGGCUGUCGCGGCAGGAUGUUUAAAUUCGCGCCUUUGCUAGUGGUCCAUUUGUGCGUUGCGUCAAAAUCAUACUGCUUUUGCGUCGGAAAUAAAGGACCACACCACGUAGAGCGGCAGCGCGCGAAUGAAAAAGGAAAGUGGAUGACGGUGAUGUAAUUCGUAAGCGGUUACUGUUCUUCCUUCGGGCGUUUCCGCUCACCGCGUGCAUUCGGAGGGUGAUGACAUAUUCGCGGCGGCGCGGUGGUGUGUAGUCGUCAAGGUGAAGGCCCUCUCCCGUACCGGUUUACUGAACCGCUAUGCUGCUGUGAUAAGGAAGAACGCCGUACGAGCCUUCAGACGUUGCCAGAAUUUCUCAGACAAAUCACGAGUCUAAAUUCAAUCUAAAUCCUCUCUAUUCUAAUAAAAUCAUUUUUAAGACGCUCGGUUGACGCGGUGAGGUGGGGGGAGUAAGAGGUCCAACGGUCGAAUUCCAAAUAUGAAGAAUAAAAAUUCAGGGUAAGGAGAAAGUCGUUGAGAAUAUUGUUCGGCGGGAAAUUUUUCUUUGAAACGUCGUUUUGUUAUUCUAAUAAAUUAUUUGCUCAUUAACCGUCAACGGGCGAUUUCGACGAUUUCGCUGCCCGCGAAGCGGCUUUUGGGGACGCGCAGCGCCUCGGGGGUUGGACCGCGUAGCGGUCAGGGGGGCGGAGCCUCCUGCUUCGUGAAUAUUUUCACGUCAAUUUUUCAGGGAGUUUAGUUCGUACUUUGAUCCGAAGUGUCUGAAAAUUUCAAGAGAAAACACUCAUGACUUUCUUCAAAAUUAACAAUUUUCUGAGAGGAAAUUUGGCAACAUUCGAAUGCUCAUGCUCAUUGAAUUGAUCAACAAAUCCGUGAAUCUAUCGAC
rnacentral:lncRNA from 1 species